AUGUUUGCUUCAGCUCCACUGCUGCUGCUGGCUCUCGCCCCCUAUGUGUUCUGUGCUACUGAGCUCAUCCAGCCAGACUCACUGCUUAUAAAGCCAGGAGAGACUUUAACCAUCACCUGUAAAGUGUCUGGAGCUUCUAUCACUGAUAGCAGCCACUAUGGAACAGCUUGGAUUCGACAACCUGCAGGAAAAGCUUUAGAAUGGAUCAACACCAUUAAUUACAGUGGGGGUAUUGAUAAGAAAGAUUCACUUAAAGACAAGUUUGUGGUCUCUCGAGACACUUCCAGUAACUCCGUGACCUUACGAGGACAGAACAUGCAGACUGAAGACACAGCUGUGUAUUACUGCGCUCGAAGACCACACACAUCAUGA